UACGGAGGGUGCGAGCGUUGUCCGGAAUUACUGGGCGUAAAGGGCGCGUAGGCGGUUCGCUAAGUUGCUGGUGAAAUCCCGGGGCUCAACUCCGGGGCUGCCGGUAAGACUGGCGGGCUAGAGCACGGUAGAGGCAGAUGGAAUUCCCGGUGUAGCGGUGGAAUGCGUAGAUAUCGGGAAGAAUACCGGUGGCGAAGGCGUUCUGCUGGGCCGUUGCUGACGCUGAGGCGCGAAAGCUAGGGGAGCAAACGGG
rnacentral:rRNA from 1 species